AGGAUACACAGGGGCUGCUUUUAUUCAGAAUAUAGUUUGUGAUGAUACCCUAUUGUACAGACCAACUCCUUGGGAGAAAAUGCGAGAAGGCGCAGAAUGUCUCAAAAGAAUGGGGUAAAACUACAAGAUUCCUUCUCUCUAGAUCCCUUUAGAAGGAGGCUGAUCUCUUUAGAAGGGGUUUCAUCGCCUUGUCCUCCUCGAGGGAGACCAUACCCAGAUGCGAGGGGUCCUCCAGCAACAUCUUGGCCACCAAAUAUCCGGCUAUGGACCAUGUCUGGUACUUCCUGGCUUGUUUGCCGAUAUACCGUCCCAGCUUCCCGUCGUAGUACUCUGGCCAGCUAUCU
rnacentral:misc_RNA from 1 species